rnacentral:lncRNA from 1 species
AUCUCCAUUUGUUGCGCAUAGGAACAAAGUUUGACAAAACUUCUUAGAGACGAAAGAAUGAACACUCUUUUGUAACCUUCAGCAUAUAUGGACAAAUCUUUCCAUCUUAAAAGCAUGGCUAAAGAAUUGGAAAGAGAAACCCAACAUAAAAAACGUUCCCGAGAACACAAGUGACAUCUUGGGUGCCAACGGAGAGAUGGAAUGCAUGAACAAUUGCUCAAAUAAGUUAAGAAAUUGAUAACAGAGAAUGCCUCCAAGGAGCACAGUGCUCCCAC